rnacentral:rRNA from 1 species
AAAAACUUACUGAAAAAUAUUAAAGUAGUAUUAGUUAGGUUCUUGAAAUUUAAAAAAUUUGGCGGUAUUUUAGUCUAUUCAGAGGAACCUGUUUUGUGAUCGAUAAUCCACGUUGUACCUUACUUAAAUUUGUAAAGUUUAUAUAUCGUUGUUAUAGAAUAUUUUAUAAAAAUAAUAAUUUUCAUAAAUUUUUAUGAAAAAAUAUAUCAGAUCAAGAUGUAGCUUAUGUUUAAGAUUAUAAUGGGUUACAAUAAAUUUAUUUUUGAAUAAUAAAUUUAAAUAUUUAUUUGAAAUUGGAUUUGAUAGUAAAUUUAUAAAGAUAAAUAGAUUGAUUAUAGCUCUAAAAUAUG